rnacentral:misc_RNA from 1 species
AGAAUUUCUGAUAGAAUCUGGCUGAGGAACGUGGCUGGUUUUGAUUCGGCAGAAGCUGGGAGUGGGACAAGUGAGGCUACUCAAUCGGAGGAGGUAUCAGGGGAAGAUAAUGAAGGUGGGUUUUUGAAGUUGAAAAGUACCAAAGAGUGGCUUUCAGGUGACGCCACGGCGCCAGUUAAUAAAAAGAGGACAUUUAAGGAAAUACAAGAUGACAGGGAAAGAACGAAAAGGCUAAACUUUCUCCAAUAUGAAGCUCUUAAGAGGGAGCUACUUUUCUUAACGGUGGGCAUUGGGACUGCUUGCACUGGAUACUGUUUGGUAGUUUUAUCAGUCCAGGCUGCUCUGAGCUAUGCGACA